rnacentral:rRNA from 1 species
AAGUCGUAACAAGGUUUCCGUAGGUGAACCUGCGGAAGGAUCAUUACCGAGUUCAUGCCCUUCGGGGUAGAUCUCCCACCCUUUGUAUACCAUACCUUUGUUGCUUUGGCGGGCCGCCUAGCUACUGGCUUUCGGCUGGUAAGUGCCCGCCAGAGGACCCCAAACCCUGAAUAUCAGUGUCGUCUGAGUAAAUAUUUAAUAUUUAAAACUUUCAACAACGGAUCUCUUGGCUCUGGCAUCGAUGAAGAACGCAGCGAAAUGCGAUAAGUAAUGUGAAUUGCAGAAUUCAGUGAAUCAUCGAAUCUUUGAACGCACAUUGCGCCCCUUGGUAUUCCGAGGGGCAUGCCUAUUCGAGCGUCAUUAUCACCCCUCAAGCCUAGCUUGGUGUUGAGACCUGCUGUGAAGGCAGUCUCUAAAAUCAGUGGCAGUGCCGUCAGGCCCUAAGCGUAGUACAUCUCUCGCUACAGGGCCCUGGUGGUGCUCGCCAGAACCCCCCAUUUUUAAUGAUUGACCUCGGAUUAGGUAGGGAUACCCGCUGAACUUAAGCAUAUCAAUAAGCGGAGGAAAAGAAACCAACAGGGAUUGCCUCAGUAACGGCGAGUGAAGCGGCAAAAGCUCAAAUUUGAAAUCUGGCUCUUUCAGGGUCCGAGUUGUAAUUUGUAGAAGAUGUUUCGGGUGUGGCUCCGGUUUAAGUUCUUUGGAAUAUUACAUCAUAGAGGGUGAGAAUCCCGUAUGUGACCGGCCGCCUCCGCCCAUGUGAAACUCUUUCGACGAGUCGAGUUGUUUGGGAAUGCAGCUCAAAAUGGGAGGUAUAUUUCUUCUAAAGCUAAAUAUUGGCCAGAGACCGAUAGCGCACAAGUAGAGUGAUCGAAAGAUGAAAAGCACUUUGGAAAGAGAGUUAAACAGUACGUGAAAUUGUUGAAAGGGAAGCGCUUGCAACCAGACUUGCCCGCCGUUGACCAUCCGGUGUUCUCACCGGGGCACUCUGCGGCGUUCAGGCCAGCAUCGGUUUUGGUGGUUGGAUAAAGGCCUUGGGAAUGUGGCUUCCUUCGGGGAGUGUUAUAGCCCUCGGUGCAAUGCAGCCUACCGGGACCGAGGACCGCGCUUCGGCUAGGAUGCUGGCGUAAUGGUUGUAAGCGACC